rnacentral:misc_RNA from 1 species
GAUGAAGAACGUAGCGAAAUGCGAUAAGUAAUGCGAAUUGCAGAAUUCCAGUGAGUCAUCGAAUCUUUGAACGCACAUUGCGCCCUUUGGUAUUCCGAAGGGCAUGCCUGUUCGAGCGUCAUUAUCACCCCUCAAGCCCUCGGCUUGGUGUUGGACGGUUUGGUGGAGGCCCCCUCGGGGGCUCCUGCCCCUCCCAAAGACAAUGACGGCGGCCUCGUUGGACCCCCGGUACACUGAGUUCUUCACGGGACACGUAUCGGACACAUGGGUUUACGGGACACGGCCUGCCUCCCCUCAGGGAGAAUCUUUCUAAGGUUGACCUCGGAUCAGGUAGGGAUACCCGCUGAACUUAAGCAUAUCAAUAAGCGGAGGA